CCCCUCAUAGCUCAAUUGGUAGAGCUGCUCCCUCUUAAGGAGAAGGUUUCAGGUUCGAGUCCUGAUGGGGGGACGA
rnacentral:tRNA from 5 species